rnacentral:lncRNA from 1 species
CAUUGGGUCAGACAAGAAUCAUCAAUGGAUGCUGAAUGUAGGAGCAAAAUUUUAAUGAAAAGCAGGUUAUUUACAUGGUUUUUAAAUGUUUCUCUACAGAAUGCCUAUUAGCUGCAUGAGGGGAAACAGUAACCAGAAAGUAGAGGACUGGACAACAUCUGGACCAAGGGAUCAAAAUUAACAUCAAUAAGUCCUAGAAUCAGGCGUUUCUUUAAGAGGCCCUACUUCCUCUAAUUGGAUAAUUCUAGAAACCGGUAUU